rnacentral:lncRNA from 1 species
UGCAGGGCAGCUUUCCUGCACCCUGCACCCGCAAAGGUGACCUCAGGGACAGCAAUGCAGCUGCCCUAAACCUUUCGAGGUCCAGCCACAGUCUUUAAAAAAAAAAUGGGGGAAGCGGUGAGAAAAUGAUCGAGCUGAAACUAGAAGGGACGCUGGAGAAGCAGAAGGUAAUUAGCAGAUUUGGGAUUUGGCUGGGACUCAAGGUGCAAGGAGCGAUUGGAAACGUUGGCUGUCUAUGCCUCACCAGCCAAGGUUUGUUUUCUGUUAGUGCAAGCAGAGAGGUGGGAAGCAAAAGAGACAGCUGCUCCAAAGAGACGGACAAAACUGACUGUUCCUGACAAGGACGCUGCAAUCUGACUAACUAGGGAUCAGACGCACGCGUAAUCCUCAGGAAAAUUCAUCUCGGUAAGAGGGCCUUGCAGGGGUCAUUAAAAUGCAUUGAGCGGCGACUGCACCCGUUUAGAAGGGAGUAUGCUGGUAAGUCUUACUGAUGCCUUUCAGGGGCGGGGAGCAAAGAGGGAUGGGGCAGCAGAGAAAAA